ensembl:lncRNA
CUCCCCACGUUGAGGUCCCACCGCCCGCCCCCCAUCUGCCCCUCUGCCCCACAGAGGAGGCGGCAGCGCUGCCAACAGCUCUGCGUGACGGCAGAUCCACGGUGCCACACCGCGGCACCGGCACUGCAGAGGAGGAGGAGGAGGAGGAGGAGGAGGAGGAAGCACAGCUGGAAAUGGCACUGCAGAGAUCCAUAAGGGAGAAGGAGAAGGAGGAAGAGGAGGAGGAAGCACAGCUGGCGAUGGCACUGCAGCGAUCCAUAAGGGAGAAGGAGAAGGAAGAGGAAGAGGAGGAGGAAGCACAGCUGGCGAUGGCACUGCAGAGAUCCAUAAGGGAGAAGGAGAAGGAGGAAGAGGAGGAGGAAGUACGGCUGGCAAUGGCACUGCAGCGCUCUAUGAAGGCGGAAGAGGAGGAGGAGGAAGAAGAGGAGGAAGCACAGCUGGCGAUGGCACUGCAGCGAUCCAUAAGGGAGAAGAAAGAGGAAGAGGAAGAGGAGGAGGAAGCACAGCUGGCGAUGGCGCUGCAGCGAUCCAUGAGGGAGAAGGAGGAGGAAGAAGAGGAGGAGGAAGCACAGCUGGCGAUGGCACUGCAGCGAUCCAUAAGGGAGAAGAAAGAGGAAGAGGAAGAGGAGGAGGAAGCACGGCUGGCGAUGGCGCUGCAGCGCUCUAUGAAGGAGGAAGAGGAGGAAGAGGAGGAGGAAGUGCAGCUGGCGAUGGCGCUGCAGCGAUCCAUAAGGGAGAAGGAGAAGGAGGAAGAAGAGGAGGAAGUACGGCUGGCGAUGGCACUGCAGCGCUCUAUGAAGGAGGAAGAGGAGGAGGAGGAAGAGGAGGAGGAAGCACAGCUGGCGAUGGCACUGCAGCGAUCCAUAAGGGAGAAGAAAGAGGAAGAGGAAGAGGAGGAGGAAGCACAGCUGGCGAUGGCACUGCAGCGCUCUAUGAAGGAGGAAGAGGAGGAAGAGGAGAAGGAAGUGCAGCUGGCGAUGGCGCUGCAGCGAUCCAUGAGGGAGAAGGAGGAGGAAGAAGAGGAGGAGGAAGCACGGCUGGCGAUGGCACUGCAGCGCUCCAUGAUGGAUAAGAAAAAGGAAGAGGAAGAGGAAGAGGAGGAAGCACAGCUGGCGAUGGCGCUGCAGCGCUCUAUGAAGGAGGAAGAGGAAGAGGAGGAGGAAGCACAGCUGGCGAUGGCACUGCAGCGCUCCAUGAUGGAUAAGAAAAAGGAAGAGGAAGAGGAGAAGGAGGAAGCACAGUUGCUGAUGGCCCUGCAGCGCUCUAUGGAGGAGGAAGAGGAGGAAGAGGAGGAGGAAGCCCAGCUUGGACUGACCCUGCAUUGCACUGCAGAGGAGGAAGAGGAGGAAGCCCAGCUGCUGAUUGCCCUGCAGCGCUCUAUGGAGGAGGAAGAGGAGGAAGAGGAGGAUGAAGAGGAGGAAGCCCAGCUUAGACUUGCCCUGCAGUGCUCUAUGGAGGAGGAAGAGGAGGAAGAGGAGGAGGCAGCCCAGCUUGGACUGGCCCUGCAUUGCCCUGCGGAGGAGGAAGAGGAGGAAGAGGAGGAUGAAGAGGAGGCAGCCCGGCUUAGACUGGCCGUGCACUGCCCUACGAAGGAGGAAGAGGAUGAGGAUGAGGAUGAAGAGGAGGCAGCCCGGCUUAGACUGGCCGUGCACUGCCCUGCGGAGGAGGAAGAGGAUGAGGAUGAAGAGGAGGCAGCCCGGCUUAGACUGGCCGUGCAUUGCCCUAUGAAGGAGGAAGAGGAUGAGGAUGAGGAUGAAGAGGAGGCAGCCCGGCUGGCAGCUCUGGAGUCCUCCCUGCUGGACGCGCUGCCGGCGGCGGACGCGGCGGAGCUGCGGUUGUUCGCCGCGUCGGAGAGCGACGCCGCGGCGGCGAUGGCGGCGCUGCGUUCGGCGCUGGGAGCGGAGCUGCGGGAGCUGCGGGUGCGGGACGGAGCGCUGCCGGCAUUGCCGUCCGUUUGCGUGGCGCUGUUGAGGCGUCGGCACGGAGUACGGCUACGGAUCCGGGACCGAACCGCCACCGUCUGCGGCUUCAGGGAUUUUUGCGUGGCGGCCGUCCGGGAGCUCCGGGAGACGCUGAGGGAGAUGAGGGGGGACGGCGGGGCGGUGAGAGCGCCGGGCGAUGCCGCGGCGGCGGUGUGGGUGCGGUGGGACGCGUCGGGCACAGCGGUGCCGUACGGAGCGGAGGACGGAGCGGUGCUGGAGGCGCUGUGGCGGCGCGGGGGGCGCCGGGCGCGGGCGGUGCUGUGCGGCCGCGGCGUCACCGUGGACCUGCGGCGGAUGGAGCUGUGCCACCCUGAUGGCACCGCAAUGCCGCUCACACGCAGCGCCGUGACGCCCAGCCUGCGGCGCCUGCUCGGCCCGGAUUCGUUGGGCGCGGAGGAGGCGGUUCGGCUGCUGCCAUUGGCGGAGGGCUCCGAUGAGUUCACCAACGCCGUGCGCCGCUUCUAUGGCAGCCUAUGGGAGCUGCGCGGGCACAUCCGAGUGCUGCGGGCGCAGCAGUUGAUCCACCCGCGCCUUUACGGGCAGUUCCGGCGGCGCUGCGCCGAGUUGGAGCGGAGGGGGGACGGCGCGUGGACGGAACAGCUGCUGUUCCACGGCACCACCGCCCCCCGCGGGCUCGCGAUCUGCCUGCACGGCUUCCGAGCCCCCCCCGGCUCUCCCGGCGUUCCUUUGGCGGUGUCGGCGGCUGUGGCGCUCCGACGGUUCCAUUCGCCGCCCUCUCCCGACGGCACUCAGUGCGUUUUGGUGGUCCGAGCGCUGUGCGGUCGGGAGAGACCCCCGAACCGCCGCGGGGAACCCCGCAACGCGCGUCGCCGCGCCGUCCGCUUCUGCUGCCCUACGGCCGCAUACCCGCUGUACGUGCUCAGCUGCGUGCGCGUGCCCGAGGAGCGCGACCGGCUGCGUGCGCGUGCCCGCUGACGGACGGGAGGAGCCGCGCGCGGAUGGAAACCGUCGAGAGUGCCAUACUGUGCCAUACGGUGCCAUGGACUCACCAGGAGUGUCACACUGUGCCAUGGACUCACCAGGAGUGCCAUACUGUGCCAUGGAUUCACCAGGAGUGCCAUACUGUGCCAUACUGUGCCAUACUGUGCCAUGGACCCACCAGGAGUGCCAUACUGGGCUAUACUGUGCCAUGGACUCACCGGGAGUGCCAUACUGUGCCAUGGACCCACCAGGAGUGCAUUGCUGUGCCAUACUGUGCCAUGGACCCACCAGGAGUGCCAUACUGUGCCAUGGACUCACCAGGAGUGCCAUACUGUGCCAUGGACACACCAGCAGUGCCAUACUGUGCCAUGGACCCACCAGGAGUGCAUUGCUGUGCCAUACUGUGCCAUGGACCCACCAGGAGUGCCAUACUGUGCCAUGGACUCACCAGCAGUGCCAUACUGUGCCAUGGACCCACCGGGAGUGCAUUGCUGUGCCAUACUGUGCCAUGGACCCACCAGGAGUGCAUUGCUGUGCCAUACUGUGCCAUGGACCCACCAGGAGUGCCAUACUGUGCCAUGGACUCCCCAGGAGUGCCAUACUGUGCCAUACUGUGCCAUGGACCCACCGGGAGUGCAUUGCUGUGCCAUACUGUGCCAUGGACCCACCAGGAGUGCAUUGCUGUGCCAUACUGUGCCAUGGACCCACCAGGAGUGCCAUACUGUGCCAUGGACUCCCCAGGAGUGCCAUACUGUGCCAUACUGUGCCAUGGACUCACCAGGAGUGCCAUACUGUGCCAUACUGUGCCAUGGACCCACCGGGAGUGCAUUGCUGUGCCAUACUGUGCCAUGGACUCACCAGGAGUGCCAUACUGUGCCAUGGACACACCAGGAGUGCCAUACUGUGCCAUGGACUCACCGUGGUGGCGGUGCGGUGCCGCGUGCUGCCCAAGAAGGCCAUGUUUUGCCCCAGGCUGUGUGUUGUGUGGUUGGUGUGAGCGCGGCGUGUGCCGACGGGGGGGCGGUGCCGUGUGCCAUGAGCUCACCGUGGCUCUGCGGUGCUGUGCUGUGUGCCGUGAGCUCACCGUGGCUCUGCGGUGCUGUGCCAUGAGCUCACCGUGGCUCUGUGCUGUGUGCCAUGAGCUCACCGUGGCUCUGCGGUGCUGUGCAGUGUGCCAUGAGCUCACCGUGGCUCUGCAGUGCUGUGCCAUGAGCUCACCGUGGCUCUUUGUUGCUGUGCCAUGAGCUCACCGUGGUUCUUUGUUGCUGUGCCAUGAGCUCACCGUGGCUCUGCGGUGCUGUGCUGUGUGCCAUGAGCUCACCGUGGCUCUGUGGUGCUGUGCUGUGUGCCAUGAGCUCACCGUGGCUCUGCGGUGCUGUGCCAUGAGCUCACCGUGGCUCUGCGGUGCUGUGCCAUGAGCUCACCGUGGCUCUGUGCUGUGUGCCAUGAGCUCACUGUGGCUCUGCGGUGCUGUGCCAUGAGCUCACCGUGGCUCUGCGGUGCUGUGCUGUGUGCCAUGAGCUCACCGUGGCUCUGCGGUGCUGUGCCAUGAGCUCACCGUGGCUCUGCGGUGCUGUGCCAUGAGCUCACCGUGGCUCUGUGCCGUGUGCC